UACGGAGGGUGCAAACGUUGCUCGGAAUCAUUGGGCGUAAAGCGCACGUAGGCGGCUUGUUAAGUCGGAUGUGAAAUCCCUCGGCUCAACCGAGGAAGUGCAUUCGAAACUGGCAGGCUUGAAUAUGGAAGAGGGUCGCGGAAUUCCCGGUGUAGAGGUAGAAAUUCGUAGGAUAUCGGGAGGAACACCAGUGGCGAAGGGCGGCGACCUGGGCCAAUA
rnacentral:rRNA from 1 species